UGCGAAGGGGGCUAGCGUUGCUCGGAAUCACUGGGCGUAAAGCGCACGUAGGCGGAUUGCUAAGUCAGGGGUGAAAUCCUGGAGCUCAACUCCAGAACUGCCUUUGAUACUGAAGAUCUUGAGUUCGGGAGAGGUGAGUGGAACUGCGAGUGUAGAGGUGAAAUUCGUAGAUAUUCGCAAGAACACCAGUGGCGAAGGCGGCUCACUGGCCCGAUACUGACGCUGAGGCACGAAAGCGUGGGGAGCAAACAGG
rnacentral:rRNA from 1 species